GGGUCCAUAGCUCAGUGGUAAGAGCAUUUGCCUGCAGAUCAGUGGUCUCAGGUUCGAACCCCAAUGGCACCU
rnacentral:tRNA from 1 species